ensembl:lncRNA
GGAAUGGUGCAGUGUAUAUGGUCAUGUGUCACUCACAUGUCAGUAGACGAGUGACCUUAUGUGAACACUGUAGAGAACUUGGCACAGAUGCAGAUGGCUGUGAUGUUGCAGGGCAAUAGAAUUGUGUGAGACUGAGGCAUGUAUGUAUGAGGUCUGUAUGUAUGAGGCAUGUAUGUAUGAGGUGUGUAUGUAUGAGGUGUGUAUGUAUGAGGUCUAUAUGUGUGAGGCAUGUAUGUAUGAGGUCUGUAUGUGUGAGGCAUGUAUGUAUGAGGUCUGUAUGUGUGAGGCAUGUAUGUAUGAGGCAUGUAUGUAUGAGGUGUGUAUGUAUGAGGCAUGUAUGUAUGAAGUCUGUAUGUGUGAGGCAUGUAUGUAUGAGGUCUGUAUGUACGAGGUCUGUAUGUAUGAGGCAUGUAUGUAUGAGGUGUGUAUGUAUGAGGUCUGCAUGUAUGUAUGAGGUGUGUAUGUAUGAGGUCUGUAUGUACGAGGUCUGUAUGUAUGAGGCAUGUAUGUAUGAGGUGUGUAUGUAUGAGGUCUGUAUGUAUGAGGCGUGUAUGUAUGAGGUGUGUAUGUAUGAGGCAUGUAUGAAGUCUCUGCUUCCCACACUUCGUGUGGCACAUACCUGCACUUGUUUGUGUUUUGCU